GGAGUCAGCUAGACAACCGCCGCUGCCGGUGCUUGCGCCGUGCGGGGGAGGAAAGUCCGGGCUCCGCAGGGCAGUGUGCCAGUUAACGGCUGGGCGGCGCGAGCCGACGGAAAGUGCAACAGAAAGAUACCGCCGAUGGCUGUGCCGACGCGUUCGGUGCGGAUCAGGCAAGGGUGAAAUGGUGCGGUAAGAGCGCACCGCGAGUUCAGCAAUGGACCGGCACGGCAAACCCCACACGGAGCAAGGCCAAAUAGGGAAGGAUGCGCCGCAAGGUGCAACGCGCGGCCCGCGCGCCUUCCGGGUAGGCUGCUGGAGGCGGCGAGCGAUCGUCGUCGUAGAGGAAUGGUUGUCUCGGCUCCGCCGGCUGUGGCCGUCGGCACUAGACAGAACCCGGCUUAUCGGCUGACUCCCCUU
rnacentral:RNase_P_RNA from 1 species